UAAUCUCAGAAGUUUCCAUUCAUGGUCCUC
rnacentral:piRNA from 1 species